ACACCGUGAGAGCAACAAGAGCCACAAAGAAUGGAAUGGACAGGCCAACUGAGCUAGUUCUCUUGUUUUCUCUCCAUGAGGCUCAAAAACCAGGCUAAUUCCAAGGAGAACUAAGGAAACAUCCCUGGGGGUCUCAGACGAUCACAGGAGUUCAGGCCUGGAAGGCUUAUUUCCCAUGAAUGGCGUUACCUGGGCCAGGGCGGUCAACAACGCCAUAGUGGUUGCCACAUAUUGUUGCUGUGUGUACCCAACAGGCGCGCCAGUUGACACCGUCACUAGCAGGAUUUUAUUGCUGUUAAAGUUGGAAAUUUGCAGCAUUAGGCUUGCUGGUCAGCUGGGCUCCUGGGAUUUUCCUUUAUUGCAAGGCUCCUUCCUUCACCUCACCUGAAGUUGAACCAUUACCCCCACCCCCCCCACCCCCUCCCCACUGCAGGCCAGGUACUGGACUCCCAAACUAUCCCAUACGUCUGGCCUUUUGUCUACAGCACGCAUAGAACGCCACCAACAUUUUGGCUGGGUUUUCUCUCCCACUGUACCAGCUGGC